AUUGAACGCUGGCGGCAGGCCUAACACAUGCAAGUCGAACGGUAGCACAGAGAGCUUGCUCUCGGGUGACGAGUGGCGGACGGGUGAGUAAUGUCUGGGAAACUGCCCGAUGGAGGGGGAUAACUACUGGAAACAGUAGCUAAUACCGCAUAACGUCGCAAGACCAAAGUGGGGGACCUUCGGGCCUCACACCAUCGGAUGUGCCCAGAUGGGAUUAGCUAGUAGGUUGGGUAAUGGCUCACCUAGGCGACGAUCCCUAGCUGGUCUGAGAGGAUGACCAGCCACACUGGAACUGAGACACGGUCCAGACUCCUACGGGAGGCAGCAGUGGGGAAGAUUGCACAAUGGGCGCAAGCCUGAUGCAGCCAUGCCGCGUGUAUGAAGAAGGCCUUCGGGUUGUAAAGUACUUUCAGCGGGGAGGAAGGCGGUGGAGUUAAUAACUUCACCGAUUGACGUUACCCGCAGAAGAAGCACCGGCUAACUCCGUGCCAGCCGCCGCCGUAA
rnacentral:rRNA from 1 species